UGGAGAACUGGAGGUCAACUGGUGGUGGUAGCAGUAACAGAGGAGCUGUGGAACCACACACUUCACAGCAUUUUCCUACAGCCAACCUAAAGUUUCUAGAACUGUCAGCAUGAUGAGGAUCGCGAGGAGACCAGAAUGCCUGUACACCCUGAGGAGUGAAAUUAAUGUUCAUGCAAAGAAAAUGUUU